AAUCGAUCAUGGAGUAGUCUCGAGGUCCAGGUCUAGGUCUGGGUCUGGGUUUGUGUCUGUGUCCGUUUCCAAUGAUAGCUCGUCUAGGUCUUCGGAUGAUGCUCCCCCUGAUCGUGGUUCCUUCUGCAAUUCCAGAUGGAAGAGAUGAUCAGCUCAUUUGGUGGAUUAACAUGAACACCUAUGGUCACUCUAGUUUUGCAACCGAAAUCCUUGAAGUUUAGGGAUCAUCAGGGGUAUGCAAAUUUGGUUUCACCGCCAAGUAAUCGGAAAUGGGUUGUUGAGGAUUUGGCUGCUAUAUCAGAGUCCCGGGAGGUUGCUGGUGAUCUAAUCAAUGAGACCGUUCUCGAUUAGAGAGAAAAAGCUUCGGAUCUUCCGUCUUCUGGUCUAUGUGAGCGGUUUUCAGCUUCAAAAGAGCUGGAUUGAAUGCACACAAUAGCUAGCUAGUUUUCAAAGAUCGAAUGCAUUAUGAUCUUGGUUUGCU